rnacentral:rRNA from 1 species
UACGUAGGGUGCGAGCGUUGUCCGGAAUUAUUGGGCGUAAAGCGCUCGUAGGCGGUCUGUCGCGUCGAUCGUGAAAACUUGGGGCUUAACCCUGAGCUUGCGGUCGAUACGGGCAUGACUGGAGUUCGGCAGGGGAGACUGGAAUUCCUGGUGUAGCGGUGAAAUGCGCAGAUAUCAGGAGGAACACCGGUGGCGAAGGCGGGUCUCUGGGCCGAUACUGACGCUGAGGAGCGCAAGCGUGGGGAGCAAACAGG